rnacentral:rRNA from 1 species
GCAUAUAAUUAAGGGGAGGAAAAGAAACUAACAAGGAUUCCCUCAGUAAGGGCGACUGAAGCGGGAAAAGCUCACCGUGUGAAUCGACAUUCUAUGUCGAGUUGUGGUCUGUAGAAGUAACAUCUGUCGAGAUUCCGAGCUAAGUCUCUUGGAAAAGAGCAGCUGAGAGGGUGACACUCCCGUUCUUGCUUGGAAUCUACGACAAUAGCAUGUGUCUUCAACGAGUCGAGUUGCUUGGGAUUGCAGCUCAAACGCGUGGUAUACUCCAUGUAAAGCUAAAUAUUGGUAGGAAACCGAUAGCGCACAAGUACAGUGAUGUAAAGAUGAGAAGCACUUUGAAAAGAGAGUUAAAGAGUACCUGAAAUUGCUGAAAGGGAAGCGAAUGGAAACAGUGUGUUUCCGUACCAUUCUUCCUUCACGACUUGUCGUGUGGGCGCUGUGGUGCGGAGUCAGUCAGCAUGGGUUUGAGUCGGGACAUAUAGCCGUUGAGGAGGCAUGCUUCUUUUAGCAGAUUACUCUUUGGUGUUGUCUUGGCUUGGAUCGAGGCUAGCAUUUCGUGAUGCUGACGAAAUGUUUCUAUUCACCCCGUC